rnacentral:piRNA from 1 species
UGACUCACAAUACAAAUGUUUUACAAAGC